CUCUUUUUUUUUUUUUCCCUAUUUUUUCUUCCUUCCUUCCUCUUCUCUCCUUUGUCUUUUCUUCUUCCUUUUCUUCCUGACCCCUUUUUUUUUUUUUUUUUUCUUCCUUCCCUGGAAGUCCCUUCUUUUUUCUUUCUUUCUUCCUAUUCUUUCCUUUCUAUUUUCUUUUUCCUUCCCUUCUUUUCAUUCUCUCUUCAUCCACUUCUAGGUAUGUGGUGGUCAAGCUCGCAUGUUUGAUGGUGGUAUUGGUAUCACCAUCGAUAUAUUGCGAAUGACGUUUAUAUUAGACAAGCAAGUCCGAUGUUUUUUUCCCCAUUGGACUAUACAAUCCCAUUUAAGUUAAUCCCCUCCCUUACUGAAUAUGGGUUUCUAGUAGGGGUGACAAUUUUCGAUAUGACCCAUUACACGACUCAAACCUGCAUUCCUGCCAACCCGCUAAAAAUGAAGGAAAUGGAGAUUUCACCACACACACAAGUGGUUUUGAACCCCUGCCACUUACAUUCCUCUCUAACACCUUAUCCACCAUGUUAC
rnacentral:lncRNA from 1 species